GCUCCUACCGAUUGAGUGAUCCGGUGAAUAAUUCGGACUGACGCAGUGCUCAGCUUCUGGACGUUGUGUUGGAAAGUUUCAUGAACCUGAUCACUUAGAGGAAGGAGAAGUCGUAACAAGGUUUCCGUAGGUGAACCUGCAGAAGGAUCAAGAGCGGAAGAGCAGACGGCGGAACUCCAGGCACGUGGAAUUAUCUCGUAUGCAGGCGGUUGCUGGAAAAAAAAAGAUACAAUAACGGACAAUCAGGACAACUGUGUGUGCUGGUACGGAGAGAG
rnacentral:misc_RNA from 1 species